rnacentral:lncRNA from 1 species
UUCUAUGCAGAGCUGACGUUGCCCGAAGCUCUCCGUCACCUCGACCGCCGCAGCCGGAUGCUGGACAAGCUCAGCGAAUCCCUGACGCGGGACGGCGCUCAGAUCCGCGCCCACAUCCGCCUGGUGCUGGAGGGUCUGCGGGAGCUGCAGGGCUUGCAGGAUCCCCCGGGUGACCUCUGACCUUGGGGUGACCUUUGGAUGACCUUUGACCUUGGGGUGACCUCUGACCCUUUGGGGGAAGGGAGAACCGGAAGUUGCUCUUUACAAGCGGGAUUAAAGUGGGAAUAAAUCUGGAGUAUUGUGGAUGUACA